UCUGUGAUGCCCUUAGAUGUUCUGGGCUGCACGCGCGCUACACUGAUGCAUCCAACGAGUUCACCUUUUUUGGAAAGAAUGGGUAAUCCUUUGAGUAUGCAUCGUGAUGGGGCUAGAUUAUUGCAAUUAUUAAUCUUAAACGAGGAAUUCCUAGUAAGCGUGAGUCAUCAGCUUGCGCUGAUUACGUCCCUGCCCUUUGUACACACCGC
rnacentral:rRNA from 1 species